UGGGGAAUCUUGGACAAUGGGGGCAACCCUGAUCCAGCCAUGCCGCGUGAGUGAUGAAGGCCCUAGGGUCGUAAAGCUCUUUCGCCUGUGAAGAUAAUGACGGUAGCCGGAGAAGAAGCCCCGGCCAACUCCGUGCCAGCAGCCGCGGUAAUACGGAGGGGGCUAGCGUUGUUCGGAAUUACUGGGCGUAAAGCGCGCGUAGGCGGGCUGGUCAGUUGGGGGUGAAAUCCCGAGGCUUAACCUCGGAACUGCCCUCAAUACUACCAGUCUAGAGUUCGAGAGAGGUAAGUGGAAUUCCUAGUGUAGAGGUGAAAUUCGUAGAUAUUAGGAAGAACACCAGUGGCGAAGGCGGCUUACUGGCUCGAUACUGACGCUGAGGCGCGAAAGCGUGGGGAGCAAACAGGAUUAGAUACCCCGGUAGUCC
rnacentral:rRNA from 1 species